rnacentral:rRNA from 1 species
UAGGGAAUCUUCCACAAUGGACGCAAGUCUGAUGGAGCAACGCCGCGUGAGUGAAGAAGGUUUUCGGACCGUAAAGCUCUGUUGUUGGUGAAGAAGGAUAGAGGUAGUAACUGGCCUUUAUUUGACGGUAAUCAACCAGAAAGUCACGGCUAACUACGUGCCAGCAGCCGCGGUAAUACGUAGGUGGCAAGCGUUGUCCGGAUUUAUUGGGCGUAAAGCGAGCGCAGGCGGAAGAAUAAGUCUGAUGUGAAAGCCCUCGGCUUAACCGAGGAAUUGCAUCGGAAACUGUUUUCUUGAGUGCAGAAGAGGAGAGUAGAACUCCAUGUGUAGCGGUGGAAUGCGUAGAUAUAUGGAAGAAUACCAGUGGCGAAGGCGGCUCUCUGGUCUGCAACUGACGCUGAGGCUCGAAAGCAUGGGUAGCGAACAGGAUUAGAUACCCUGGUAGUCCAU